GACGAACGCUGGCGGCGUGCUUAACACAUGCAAGUCGAACGAAGUGGCGAACGGGUGAGUAAUACGUGAGUAACCUGCCCUCCUUUUUGGGAUAAGCCUUGGAAACGGGGUCUAAUACCGAAUAAAGGGGGAUGGGCUCGCGGCCUAUCAGCUUGUUGGUGGGGUGAUGGACUACCAAGGCGGUGACGGGUAGCCGGCCUGGGAGGGUGACCGGCGACAUGUGGACUGGGAUACGGCCCAGACGCCUGCGGGAGGCAGCAGUGGGGGAUAUUGGACAAUGGGCGAAAGCCGGAUGCAGCGGCGCCGCGUGGGGGAUGAAGGAUUUCGGGUUGUAAACCUCUGUCGCGAUCGAAAGGGUAGGUGGAGAAGAAGCGCCGGCUAACUACGUGCCAGCAGCCGCGGUAAUAC
rnacentral:rRNA from 1 species